rnacentral:rRNA from 1 species
GAUGAACGCUGGCGGCGUGCCUAAUACAUGCAAGUCGAGCGAACAGACGAGGAGCUUGCUCCUCUGACGUUAGCGGCGGACGGGUGAGUAACACGUGGAUAACCUACCUAUAAGACUGGGAUAACUUCGGGAAACCGGAGCUAAUACCGGAUAAUAUAUUGAACCGCAUGGUUCAAUAGUGAAAGACGGUUUUGCUGUCACUUAUAGAUGGAUCCGCGCCGCAUUAGCUAGUUGGUAAGGUAACGGCUUACCAAGGCAACGAUGCGUAGCCGACCUGAGAGGGUGAUCGGCCACACUGGACCUGAGACACGGUCCAGACUCCUACGGGAGGCAGCAGUAGGGAAUCUACCGCAAUGGGCGAAAGCCUGACGGAGCAACGCCGCGUGAGUGAUGAAGGUCUUCGGAUCGUAAAACUCUGUUAUUAGGGAAGAACAAAUGUGUAAGUAACUAUGCACGUCUUGACGGUACCUAAUCAGAAAGCCACGGCUAACUACGU